rnacentral:rRNA from 1 species
GGAAAACUCACCAGGUCCAGACAUAGUAAGGAUUGACAGAUUGAUAGAUCUUUCUUGAUUCUAUGGGUGGUGGUGCAUGGCCGUUCUUAGUUGGUGGAGUGAUUUGUCUGCUUAAUUGCGUUAACGAACGAGACCUUCACAUGCUAAAUAGGGUCCCGAAUCUCCGGAUUUGGAGAUCACUUCUUAGAUGGACUUUCGGCUUUUAAGCCGAAGGAAGCAGGAGGCAAUAA